ACAGAGGGGCCUGACUAGUUUGUAGAACUGCAGGUUUCUACCAAAGGCAUUUAGGGAUCUAUAUGUUCAAGCUUGUUGCCUAGGUUAAGAAUCAACUCUAAGACAUAACCCUUAGGAAUCUACAUAUUCAGGCUUGUUUCUUUAGGUUAGGAGCCUAUAGUAAGAUACAGUCCUCUUCUAAGGACUUAACAGCCUGACUACUUGGGAAAGAAAUAUUUUCAUAAACAGCUAAACCAAAAUGCAUGGCUCAUGGGGUCUUGGUCACAGUGAAUGCCUGCUCAACGAUGGGGAAUAGCUUGUCUUUCUCAUGCCUGUAGAUAAUCAGGUGCUCAGCUGAAAGCACAAAUUCCCUGGAAUCACACUUGUUUAGACUAGAAUCUUCUGGACAUGCAUUUUCCCCCCAGCACUUUCUGUAACAUAUUGUAAGUGUCCUGCUGUCUUGUUUUAUCAGCUUGUUUUCACAACACAGUCUGCGGGAGCUGUUUGUUCUUUUCUUUUAACUAGUCAGGUCAUAAGGAGGUGAAAAGCCUCCUUGGUCUUCUGGGACUAGGAGAGCUAGAGCCAACCCUCAGCGGGGCCCUACCCACCUCCCCCAGUGGUUUCUGCCCUGCUUUCAGUCUAUUAUCUCCUUCUGCAGAGAAGCCAUUGUAAGGUUCUGGAAGCAUCCUGUUCCAUUCAGGGCUUUAAAAUGUUAAUGAGAGAGAGAGAGAGAGAGAGAGAGAGAGAGAGAGAGAGAGAGAGAGAGAGAGAGAGUGUGUUGGGGGUUGGGGGGGCUCUCAGGAAGGAGGCCACCAGACUCAUUUUCUAUUUAAAGUUAUCUUUCAGUUCAAAUUAACUCCUGCCCGUUGGUCUUCCGACAGGUUAGAGAUAUGGUGGUCUCCAUUUUUGAUUCAACUCUGACUACUCAUCUUGUAUUGGUUUGAUAUAUUGAGACUGUCCUUAGGAAUUCCUUUGGCAGAGUCUCUCAAUCAAAGCACAUAGCAUGUAAAUCUACUUUUAAUCCAACAGUACAUUGCCAGAAGGCAGAUUUCAGAAGGCUACAGAAAUGGCUGCUUCCUAUCUUUCUUCCCCACCUCUCUCCCUCUCUCAGCCUUUCCCUUUCUUUUCUUUGCUUGGUUUUUAAGAUAGGGUUUUGUGCAUUGUUCAGGCUGGCCUCAAACUUGCUAUGUAGUAGCCAAGGAUGGCUUUGAACUCCAGAUCCUCCAGCCUCUGCUUCCUGAGUUCUUGUAUUCCAGGUGUGUGCUGGCAUGCUUAGCAGAACGAUUUUCUGAUCAUGAAGCUGUCAUAGGAACUUGCAUUUAACACGGUAUUUUCUUUUAAGUAGUUUUUGAAUGGAGGGUAAGAGACUCAAAAAUUGCGGGUAAGAAGAAGCUCUUUUGGGGAAAUUAAUAGGAAUUCUCAGACACCUUAGGUUUUACUGCCAUGAAAUUAGAGUGCACAAGAGCUAAUUAGGCACACUGAAAGGAAGGUUUAAUGAUUUCUUUCAGGUAAAUUGCAGUAUAGAUUUCAGGACCACUGCUACCCAUGAGCCUCUGCGUUGUGAGGGUGGUUCAGAAGGGUAGUCUUUGGAAUUUCACACAGGGCAAAGUUUGCUAGCAUUUUGGGUCUUAUGAGGAAACCCGUUAUAACAUGAGAAGCACUACAGAACUGCCAUGUUGCCCCUAGAGAUUCCUAUCCCCUCAGCCCCUGCUCUGGAUUACAUAAUUAAUCAACUCAGCAAAUAAAUGCUAGCAAGUAAAGGUACAUUAACAUUGGUGGUUUGUUAAAACAAAGGGCACAUUUUUAUAAGACAAAUAAAAAAAUUGGCCCAUGUGCUCAACAUCUCCAGGCCCUAGCCCUUCAUACAUAGACUCAACAAUGAUAACUACGUUUUAUCAAGAGAAACCCAGCAUCAAUAUUUAUUGGUUAGUUACUAACUGAGUCAUGGAUGCCACCUGAGUCACAGGUGCUGCCUUUAAACCUCCCUCUAGUGUGUCUCUUUCUCACAGCUCUCUGUUUUGGACUCAGUGUCUACCUAAAGUGGAUAUUGGUCAGGAAAAGUACCCAGAAAGCUUUCUCAUUUUCUCACCUGACACCCUCAUUUGCCAAAGGUUUCCCCUGUAGCCAUUUUGGAACUCCCUUGUAAAACCUAAACACAGAAAAAAAAUUUUUUUUUCUUUUGAAAUAGCAGCACUUCCUGUAAGGAUGAGGAAAGAUUGACCUGUUCAACCUUAAAUUAAAUGAAGCUUCCAGAGAAUAAGACAAGCAACAAAAACCAGUAAGAGACAGGAUAUUCUGGUAAAAUGGAAGAUAUGGCAUGAUAGCUUGUCAGAAAGCGUAUUUAUUUUAAAUGUAAUUGGUAAAAUGGUGAUUGAUAUCAGUAUCAGCAUCACUUGGGAGUUGGCGGAACUAGAGACUCAGCUCAGGCCCAACCCUGGACCCAUGGAACCAAGGUCUACAUAAGGGUCUCAAGAUUUAGUAAUUUAGUUUACUCUUUAGAAAUGUAGACUACUCUUUUGAUAUUCUUCUCAUUUCAACACGGUGAGCUCUCCAUUCUCUCUCUCUCCGGGAAUCAUCUGCAUAGGCAUGUGGCUGUGUGCUUGUGAAGCAAAAGUGACCCUGCAUGACAUUGAACCUAGGCCUUGAAGCUUUCUCUUGUCUUCUUACCAUGAUUGCUAUAGACAGAGGAACACUUUUGGAUAACGGCUCCAGCUAAAUCCAGACUUAUAGCUGUCUUGAUAAAAGUAGCAAACAGGUGAAUGAAGCUACCUAGUGACCCUGGUAGAUGUUAUAUGGAACACAAGAACAGUGUCACCAAACCCUGACUAGAUUUCAGAGCCACAAAAAUUCAUGAGAUAGAAUUAAACAGAGAGAAGCUUAUUAGGCAGCAAAAUGGGAGGUGAAACCAAAUCCCCAAGAAAAGCACAGGUAGCACUCCGAGAGGGUGGAGGGUAGGGGUGGGAAGGUUGGGGAUAGGCUGAGUCCAGGAGGCUAUGACAGAGAGUAAUUGGCAUGUAGGUGACUAGGGGGGUCCGGGAUACAUGUGCUAGAUUAUCAGGCAAUGGACUCAAAUGGAAUUUUGGCCUAAAUAAAAAUUCCAGACUGCCCUUGAAGGAGUGGGUGGUUCUGAAUCCAGUCUUUACCCCUUUGGGCUUUAAUUACUCGUUUCUCUGCUUUCAUGUUUUGAAAGAGGGAUGGACUUCAAUCAAGUGUUUUCUCUUGAGCACCCCUGUGAAUCUGGUCUCAUGUUAGACACUUCUGGGGCAUUAAGGGGCAGACAAGUUAGGGUACCCACCUUCAGGAACUCACUUCCACGAGUUUGUGAAAGUCAUAAGGCAAAGAGCAGGGGUGAUAUCUAAGAAGGGGUGAUAUCCUUCUUGGGAGGAGCUGUCUUGGGAGGGCAUUGAAACGUUCAGUUGGACUAAGGAGGUGGCUCAGCAGUGAAGACCAUGUGAUGCUUUAGCAGAAGACUUGAGUUUCCUUCCUGGCACCCAUAAGGUGCCACACAACUGCCUGUCAUGGCAGUUCCAAGGGCUCCAAACACCCUCUUCAGACUUCAGUGGUGCAAUAUAGACAUGCAGGUAAACACUUAUAUAGAUGAGGUAGAAAUAAAUGUUUAAAAGUAAAAGAAAAGAGAGAAGGUGCUCAACAGAUAGGUGAGGUGAAAUGGAAAGUCUAGGGGAGGAGACCAGGUUGGAGGUGAUUUGCUACUUGGUUUAUUUAUUUAUUUUUUUGUCUGUGAUUCACUCCAACCUUUUGCCCCACUCCCUCCUUUUGCCCCCUCCUUCCUUAUGCCCCACUCCACCCUUGCCCACUCCUUCCUUAUCCACUUCACCCCAUCCCUGUCUUCCUUCUCUUCCCUUUCUCCUUCCCUUCUCUCCUUCGCAGUGCAGGGAAUCAAUCUCAAGGCCUUGCAUGUGACACACAAGUUCUAUAUUCAGUCACAUUUCCUAGAGCCUUGAGGCCAUCUUACUGUACAGCCCAGGCUGCUACUGAACUUGUGAUCUUGCCUCAGCUCCUGUAGGAUCGAGGGAGUAUGUCUAUAGCCAGCUCUAGUCUCCUUCUUGUCACACUUUUAUGUAUGACUGUCACAGUUCUGGAAGAACUUUUCCUCAAGUCAAGGUUUGUCUUUGGGAUACAACAGAAGUCUCAAACUUAUAAUCUUUCACAAUCUCUUCUGCUUCAUGGCAAACUUGGGCACGAUUGUCUUAGACAGUUUCAUGAAGAAUCCCUGUUUCAUGGACAAGUGGGGGGCUGUGCUGUGGUGGUGUGGACAUGAAUCUCUACCAAGCUGUUAAAGAACUAGGGAUCUGGAUAGGUGGGUAUAGCAAAAUGUGGCUUUUCUGUCUCCUAGGACUCCUGUGACAUCUGGGUUGAGGAAGUGUCUCUCCAUUGUUUCUCCAAAUUGGUGGGAAUGAAAAUUACAGGAUUGGAGAUUUAAGGCAAGGAGAAGUGAAAUGAUGAGAGAGGGGUUAGUGCUUCAUUUGGACCCGGAAAUGGUGAAGGAGCUCAGGAGCCUGGUAAUGGGAAAAGUUUUAGGAGCCUUAAAUGCGGGUAGGACUCUUUUUCCAACCUACUUUUGGAAUCUCAUCUGCCCUCCCAGUCUUGGCCUGCUCUUCCAUUAUGUAUGGAUCAGCCUGUGGAGGAAGAAGGAGGUGGCUAGAGUCUGUUGUGUCUGGAUGAGCAGACAGGGAAACCCUUCCUGUAGACACAAAGUUUGCUGUGUCCCCAGAUGCUGCCAUACCCAUUGCUCCAAAGUCAGAACAGUUCGGCCCCCGCCCUAUUUCCUGUAGGACAUAGGACUCCUGUGCUUUGAAACUUGGUGAAAACACCAAGCCGCCAAUCAGAAGAGGGAAGGUCAUAAUUAAUGAUAAUAGCCUGGUUUUAAUUAUAGCGAUUUAGCAAGUUAGCAGAACAAUUCCAGUAACACAGUGUGACACUGAAUGGGGCGGCAGCCUGCUGUUUCCUUGAGCAUUCACAGUUUGCCCCUGGAACUUUGCAAGGCUCAGCUCCCCAACUGAAAGCUUUACAAGUGAAAACUAGGAAGACUACGUCCUCCUUUCUAACAAGGGAUUUUCUUCUUUACUUUGCUACAUAUCAUUUGCAGGCACUUCUCUCAAGAGCCAGUGACUUACGAUGUUAGCUAUAGAUCUUUAUUCUCUUAAGAUACAGGCAGGACCCAAGUCAUGCUUGUGCUAUGGUAUUAAUGCGAAAUGUCCACUUGGAGGCUUGGGUGUUUGAACACUUGGCUUCUAGUCGGUAGUUCCGCUUUGAAAGGCUGUGGAACCUUUAGGAGGCAGAGUCCCGAGGGAAGAAGUGGGGUCACUGAGGGUGGGUUUUAUAGCACAGCCCAGCUUCCUACCUACUCUCUGACCACAGAUGACAAAUGUGACAGGGUGACUCAAAGUUCUCCUUCUCUGCCUUCCUUGCCACAAGGGACCGUACCCACCUUGAACUGUAAACCUAGAAUAAGUUCUUGAUUCCUUAACUUACUUCAUGUCAGCUACAGCAACAAGAGAAGAAGUAGCUUGUGAUAGUUAGGCCCCGUAAUGGAGCUACCCGCCUAUCCUUGGCUCAUCUCUCUGCCCAGGCCAUACAUAUCUAAAGUACUGGUAAAUUAGCCGUGGAAAGGACCUUGGGAACAAAGAUUUUCAAACAUCUUGAGGCCAGAAGAACUGCUCUAACUUUACAGGAAGGAUGGAAGAAUAACCACAAAGCCCCAUUUCUUUGUUUUGUCCCAAAUAAUUGUCCCAUUGAACUCAUAGCACCCCUUAAAAAGGGAGCUCACCACUCAUCUUUAUUUUCUGAGGUGACAUCUCUUGUAGCCCAGACUGCUCUUAAAGACAUUAUGUAACCAGUUUUAUCUGGAUUGGUUGGAAGUCCUGUCCUCUAAGUGCUGGGAUCUGAAGCAUGUGCCACCUUGACCAGUUUGUGUAGCUCUAGGGAACCGAACUCAGGACCUUGUGAACGUUACAUCCACCAAACUCUGGCUCCAAUCAUCUGGAGUUUUUAUGGGGUGGACCAUAGGGAAAUAGUGGCCAAUUAGAUAUUAUUCAAUUAGACUACAGUUCUUCUUUUUAGAUAUGAACUCAUAAGCCCACUAAAGCUGUUGUUUUAAUGCUGUAAUUAAAAAAUCUAUCUGUAGACCUCUGGAGAUCCACAAGGUAGGUAUUAGACAGGUCGUAGGGUUGGGGAGAGCCAAUAACUUAAAGGCUUUAGGCUCUGGUCCACAAAGAGAAAGUCUAUAGCUUUCACCUAUUUCUCAACAGGGUCUGUGGUUCUGAAUAUUUAAGAACUGCAGCCAUGAGGUGACUCAGCAAAUCACUGAAGGGCUCUGGCUCCUUCUACCCCAGGCCAGAAGAUUGACACCAUCCUCCUGACUUUCCAUCAGCCCUUCCAGGUAUUUCUACAUCACGGCUCAUUCUGAAAUGGCCACAGACAGGCUCAAGAUAGAACUUGGCAGACAGCAAGAGCACAGAACAGGUGGUUGGGGAGUACAUGGGUCUUUUACCAUAGCCAGGAGAUUUUCUCUGAGAGAUGACUAAGUGGCCUUGUCGUUAAUGAGGUACAUUUCUCUCCAAGGAUGGGCUCACAGAAAAAAAUGGCAUUUCCCUAUUCUCUCUCUAACAAGGCAGCACCCCUGCAAAGACGGGAAGGAAUUUGCAAGAUGGGGUUCUCAGAUGUGUUUUAAACCUGCCCUGGGACAUUGGCUGUCAGAGAAAGUUAUCUCAGGCCAGAGAGUUGUAUUAGCAUCUGAUGAUGAUGAUGCUGUGAUAACUCAUUCCUUUGAAAUCAUUCAGAUGGCAUUUCAUCUCUUUGGCAGAACAGUACAUGUGGUUUUAGCCUGGCCUCUCAACUCAUUUUACAGGUAACUUACUGGCUGCUUCUUGAUACAGAAGAAAAAGUUUUCCCUAAAAGAAUAACUUAGGUGUGGCAAUUAUAUGAGUAGGCAUAUUCUCUUUGUUUUCAAAGAAUGAUAACUCUGUGCUUUGUGGACAAAGGGGUGAAACAAGCUGCCCAUCCUUUGGGGCAAGUCGGAUGGACCAUUGUCUAGAAGAUGUCUCUUUUAGGGACCUAAGGUUUAGGAGGGAGAAGACAUUAGACUAAGGACUUGAAACAGAAUAGUUUAAAGCAGACUUCCAGCUCCUAGAGUAUUGUAGAGUCAAGGGUGAGAUGAGGGUGACCCUGAGGUGAAGUGCCUUCCUAGCCACAGUCACAGGUAGUUCAGUGAUGCCCUCAUCCCAGUCCUACCUUGAAGGAGGAGCUGUGGGUUAGCACAUGCUCAUUGUAAACUGUGUAUCUUGUUAGUGACUACCACUUUGAGAAGGAAGGACCAUUUUAGACAGGAGUAUUUCCUUAGAUUGUCUUAUCUAAAUGUGGAAAGUUUUUAACAUCAGAUUAUAUAGAAUAGCCCAACCCAGGAAUGUGGCUCAGAGGAAGCAUUCUAUACCCUGGAUGAGGCCUGUGACUUGGGAAGCCUCAGGCUGUUUGUGGAUCAGUCACCUGUAUGUCCCCAGCAAGGGUAAGUUCAAUGUCCUGGUUCCUAGUCAUAGCAUCUGUGAUUCUGGAGUAAGAGGAUGCUGAGUGGAACUGUUUUUCCUGAGGGAGCUUAGGCCUUCAGGAUAGUGUCUGCUUUCUGCCAUCAACCUUAUAGAUGCCUACAAGCUGCCUACUAGGCCUCUGCCAGGCCUUUCCCCAGCCAGCCUGCUGUUUCUGCAUGGCCUGUAGCUCUGACCCAUCUCUUUGCCAAUCUCCAACCUUCUCUCUACAUCCUGGAUGCUGGCCAGGGUUAUAGCCUGAUGUCACUUUCCAUUUAGACCUGGUAGCCCUGUCCCUAGUCGCCUCACUAUGCAUUCUGCACAUGGCCAUUGUGCGAGCCAAGUACUUAUCCUUGGAGUACUUUGCUCCUUAAUACCACAAAAAGAUGCUCCUUCAUCACAGUGACUGGAAAUUCAUUCAACUCAUUGGAACUUCCCCGGCCUCAGUAGUGCCUUGAUCCCAGUGGCAGCAUCUGAUUCUGAAGACAGUGUUCUAUCCGUCUCCUACAUUGGGUAUGGGUAGGAGAAUGUUAGGAAACAGAUAUGUCUGCCACUUUUUGAUUUAGUGAUUGUAUCUCUCUUCUGAGUCUGGGAAGGGACCCAGAACCCCACUGAUACUAUCAAAAGCAAAGCUGAGGUUGUGUUUAGAAAAAUACCUAGAAGGACAAUCCAACAGAUUUGCCAAGGAGCAAUGUUAGAAAAAAUUAGGCUUGAAGUUUACGGUUUGUAGGUUAUUGACUCUGACAAGUCAUAUGACCUCAGAGCCUCUGUGUCCUAAUGUAUAAAAUACAGAUAAUUGAAGACAUUUUGUAAGGUUAACACGUACAGUGAGCAGUGUGUUUAAUGCAAGGCCUGGCUUGUCACAGUUCCCAGACUGUCUCAGAGUCUCCAGGAGACCUAAUUUCCCCAAAGCCCACAACUUCCUCCUUUGUCUUUUCUGUGAUUUCUGGGCCGCUUGUCUUCCACAGUGUGGAGAACGCUGCAGGCCCACACUGACUUUCUCAGAGGCAAUCAAGUCCCUUUACAAAUGGUAAACAGGUGGUUUUCUGGUAAACAAAAAGCUGUGGGCUUGAUUUAUCCUGCAAUCUAACAAAAUGAAAGAGAUAGCUUUUGAUUCUGUACAAUAGGAGCAGAGCCUUUCUUACUGAACAAUGUUCUUCUCAGCUUGUGUCCCAAGUUGGGAUGGAUGGGAUAAUGGCUUCACAGAUUGUAGUAAACAGGUGGGCCCACUAACAUUCUGUCCUGGUGGUCAAGUCUCUUGUGGAUCAGGAAGGAUCCAGAAGCCCAGGGCUAAGCAGAAGGAGGUGGGGCUUUUACACUGUGCUUCCAAAGGGUCAUAGGUCAGCCAGUUACUCUACAUAGGGGUGAGAGCAAGCUCCAGAUUCUUCUGUAAAAGGCAUAGGAGCCAUAUGGAAUGCCUCCCUUGCCUUGAGGCCUUGUUUAUAAACCAAUAACAGCUAGAAUGAAGUCUGUAUGUGGGUAGAAGUGGGAAUCUACCUAAUUAGCUCUCCAUUCUGUGAAUGUAGAGGCCUUGCAAGGCCUUGUGAAUUCGUUCUAUAAACAACAGACUGACUUUCCCACCGAACGACCAAAUGAACAGUUAUUUCUUCAAUAACUGCUCUGUGCCAGGCAGCAUUUGAGGCAGAAAGGAAAGAGCAGUGAACAAAACCGAAAACAUUUCCUGCUGUCACGAUGAUGUCCCCAUCCAUAGGGAGCACAGACAAUAAGCCGAGAGACACAUAGCAGGUGGCAAUGAAUGUGGGAGGAGCCCAGAGCCUGGCGGAGGACAGAAGGCAACAAGGGGUACUUGUUUACAGAAAGACUGUUGUGACAAGCUGAUGUUAAUGUAGGCAGUAGGAACAGUGUAAGUGACAGGGCCUUGCGGAUAUACAGUUUUGCAUGAAGGAAUAGCAAAUGUAAAGGGGUUGAUGUAUCACUCCAUUUUAGCCCACAUCAGCAAUCAGAUCCACUGUAUGGACAGGAUAUAAGAAAGCUGGGCGAUGGUUUCUGAUACAUUAAAAAAAAAUGUGACAUCAGAGGUGCUAAAGAAGACAAUGAUCCUAAAUAAAAGACCAGCGAGCCUCCUCUUACUUAGGAUAUACGUGUGCUGUGUUGGAUUAGUGCUAAGCGUUCUAAUAUGAAGACCCUGACUUCUACUCUGGGUGCUGGGAAAGCAGGUGAUGCAGGAGAAGGCUGGAUCAAAGGCCGGAAGAUGGAAGGACAAGAUCUCAUACAAGAGUACAGCCUGCGAGCCAGUCCAAAGCAGAGGUGAGCUCUACUUCCACUGGACACUCUAAAGGAAGCUGACGUCACACGGUCACCUUUACCACCACCAUUAUUACCACCAUCAGCAUCACGUGUAUGUCAGCAUCAUGCCAGUUACUUGUCUUGUUGCUGCCUAGACAAGCAACAACUUAAGGGAAAAUUGAAGUGGAAGCAUACGGUUCCUUUGGAAAGUCAGUUGGAAGCAUACGGUUCCUUUGGAAAGUCAGUUGGAAGCAUACGGUUCCUUUGGAAAGUCAGUUGGAAGCAUACGGUUCCUUUGGAAAGUCAGUUGGAAGCAUACGGUUCCUUUGGAAAGUCAGUUGGAAGCAUACGGUUCCUUUGGAAAGUCAGUUGGAAGCAUACGGUUCCUUUGGAAAGUCAGUUGGAAGCAUACGGUUCCUUUGGAAAGUCAGUUGGAAGCAUACGGUUCCUUUGGAAAGUCAGUUGGAAGCAUACGGUUCCUUUGGAAAGUCAGUUGGAAGCAUACGGUUCCUUUGGAAAGUCAGUUGGAAGCAUACGGUUCCUUUGGAAAGUCAGUUGUGACAUAGAACGUUUCACUGAAGCAGACACAGGUGAAAGGACGUGAAAUGCCAUGCAAUGAAGGAUUCUUUGCUAACUAUACGUGUAUUGGUUCGCUUUACAUUGUGUUGCUGAACUCUAUUUGUCAUGACUCAUGACUCCAGAGAGAAACACACCAAAAAAACUUCUAGUGGUGUUCUGGUGGCUUCUUGCUACUUCCAUGGACUUGGGCUAAUUGGCUGAGUGAUGUCAGCUGAUACAGACUGACAUCCAGUAGUGAGACAAUACCUGUGGGAGGACAUGCGACAUUUGGAAAGAGUAUAAACAGGACCCAAGAAAUAGUGAUGAGGCCUGCAUAGCUAGCCCUGCAAUACGUCUUGGUCUUGCUUCUUUGUCUUCACUGAUUUUUGCUUUGUUGAGAGAGGUGAGGCAGAGAAUUUCUCCCGGUGUCCCUGCUGGUCCUGGUCACUCCUGCUAACUUGUGCUGAUUCAGCAGAGACCUGGUUGUUUCUGCUGAGUCAUGCCAUAGCUGUGGAUUCAUGUUUGCUAUCCCAGCACUACUGAAAUGGACUGCUGGUAUAUUCAUGAAGUGUUUGUGAAUGGACUGAGCUGCUGCCGAUAAUUCCUGUGAACUGAACUGAUGACUUUCUGACAGUGCAGAUUGAAUUUGCUACAAAGAACAAUUUCUAAACAAGUUCACUUCCCUGCGUCCUAAUAACUUUUCUCUUUUACUACCUCUGGUGGAUGGCGGACUAGAGGAGAGGUUGAAUGUAUACUAAAAUAGGCUGUGAAAAAUAUAUGGCUACAGAAAAUAAUUUAUUUUGGUUCACAGGUUGAAGGUAUAUAGUCCACCAUGGUGGGGAAGACUUGAAGUAUGGCUCUGUAGUGACAAAGGUCUGAAGUGACGACUUAUUAUAUCUUCACACACAAGGAAUCAGAUGUAAUCAGCUGGGCUGUAACCUAUAGCCCCCACCUCUAUGCCCCUGCUAUCUUCCCUAUGCCUGCCAGUUAGGUAUCAUUUAAAUUUUUCAAUAAUCUUUCAAAAACAGUGGUGCUAGCUAAGAAUCGAGUGUUCAAACAUGAGCCAGAGGGGUACAUUUUAUAUUCAAAUCAUCUUCUUCAUCAUUACCAUUACCACCAUCACCCUCAUUGUUCAUUCAUUCAUUCAUUCAAAAUUCAUACCAUAGCACUCAUUAUCUCCAUCAUCACCAUUGUCACAUCCCUCUCAUCAUUCAUUCAUUCAUUCAUUCAUUCAUUCAAAUAUUCAAUCAUCAUCCAUUUGAAUCAUAGUUGUCAUCAUCUCCAUCAUCACCACUGUCACCAUCACCAUUGUUCCAUUAUGAGCACCAUGAUAACCAUCAUUACUAUCAUUAACUUCCCAUCCACCAUUAUCACCAUCCAAUUCACCACCACCACCACUCUUAUCACUGCCAUCUCUAUGUCUGCCACUAUCAUAGUUAUCGCCACCAGUGUUAACACCAUCAGAACCACCGUCAUCACCCUUACCAUAGCAGCAUCAUGUCCAUCAUCAUCAUCAUUGCUAGCACACAAUGGAAGCUUAUCAUGCUCUAGAUGUCAGUCUAAGCAGCAUCUAUAUUAUCUUCUUUAAGAUUGAUUAUAGCCUUGGAAUUGGGACCAUUUUAAAGAUUCGAAAACUAAGAAUUAGAAAGGCAAAGUAACUCAAAGGCCAAAUAGCCUAUAAAGUCAAGGACAGAGAAAGGAGAGAAUACUCUCCAUAAAUACACAUUGCCAAGUGAUCCAGAAGUCUAGCAUGAGAUCCUCAUGAGCAUGUGUAGUAAACAGAGCAGCCAAUGGAGAGGGUCAGGGUAAACUUAAACAUAAAACCACCCUUGCUCCUAAGGUAGGCUUAGUUAUACAGAGGGAUCCAUUGUGGUAUGAAGUAUAGAAGACAAUGAGUUCUUGGUUCUCAGGUGCUCUUGACAGAGCUGAGCGGAGUUACCCCGUGGUUCCUAUGUUGGAUGUAGCACCACACAAACAGGCCAGGAGCUGAGCCUGCACGCUGCUGAUAGCUGCCAUGAUGGUUAUAGCUAGGAGAGAGGCUUGAUAAGAAUGAUCUUCAGUGUGUGCUACUUCUAACAUGGCAUUAACCUAUAGACUGGAAAGGCCACCCAGGAGGAGCUAUCGAGGGCAAGCAAGCUAUCCAUAGGCGGUUAGGCAGCAUUCAAGGUAUGUGAUCUCACUUUGUGAUUUCAUUUUGUGCCAUAUGCUACUCUGGUCUCCCGUGUCAGGGAUCUGGGAAUUGUCUUACCCUGUUGUUCCCUAAAUAUUCUCUAAUUCUUUUUUUUCACUCCAUAGCAUUCUUUUCUUACAUGCUAUCUGCUCAAAGUAUGCUUCUUUCUUCUUGUCUGACUGGAGGUGGUGACAGGCCUUUACCGUUUUUCUGUCCUCCAAGUUGUCUCUGUUUCACUAUCGUGGUGCAGUCUGGGCUCAUUAAAAUGCAAGCGUGACAAUGUUCAACACUCCUCCAGAGGGCAGGAUCCUAUGUCCUCACCAGGAUCAGGGCCAGGACCAGGAAACAGUAGAAUCUUAUUUGUUCUUCUAUGCCAUGUUUAUUCCACUUAACAUGUGUGUAUCUUUGUGUGUAUGUUUGUGUGUAUCCAUGUAUGAGUGUGUGUGUGUGUGUGUGUGUGUGUGUGUGUGUAUGUGUAUGCGCACGUGUGCAUGUGUUUGCACAUGCCAUAGAGUAUGUAGGGCAACUUAGAUGUCAGUUCUCACGUCUACCUUGUUCAUGCUGGCUGAAGCCUACACAGGUUACCUGAGCAGCCGACUUUGGGGUGUGACAAGGGCUGGGGAGCUCUGGUCUCCACCUCUCACCUUGCUUUAGGAGCAUCAGAACGAUAGACCUGUCCAGCUUUAUGUGUGUUUUGGGGACCUGAGCUUAAGUCUUUGUACAAAAGCACUUAACUUACGGAGUCGUCUCCGCAGACCACUUGGCAUGUUUUUAAAGUUUCUCAGUGGUGUAGAAGCACCAAUUUUUCAUCUUUUACUUAUACAUCCAGUGACACCCCAUUCUAUGUUUACAUCACAUUUUGUUUUUCCAUUCAUUUGUUGAUGGGUGUCUGGGCUGUUUCCAUCUUUUGUUUACUGGGAACAAUUCUAUUCUAAAUCUUUGCAAACUUGUGUCUUAGUCUAUUUUCAAUUGCAUUUCUAUGAACCGAUUUACCUUCAUUUCUGCUAUGUGAUAAAAUAGCCUGAGAAAAAGGAACUUAGGGGAGAAAGAGUUUAUUCUGCUUCCAAUUCUGGUUGACUGACAGUAGGGAAGGCCUGCAAAGGAGGUUCAUUCCCUAGGAAAAGGAUGCUAGAACUGGAGUAAAGGCAGAUGUUAGAGACUGAGUCCACCGGUGUUUGUUUCUGCAAAUGCUUCUCCAGUGUCAUUUACAGAGACUCUUCUGUAUGGGAAUUACCAAUGCUUGAAUGCAGAAUUCACUCUUGUCUCUCUUAGACUUUUCUAAAAAUGGUCUCCUUUGCAACUCUCAAUUCACCCAUUGGAGAACAUGCAUCAUGCACGCUUCGCCUCUCCUCAAUAGGUUGAGAAAUAACAUAGGCUGUGUGGACACUUCCUGUCCAGAGAGUAUUAGAAUAAUAUCAACAGCAUUUCCUCUGAAGGAAGUGCUGGUGGUAGUGGUGUCUUGUCCUUGGCCUGGCAACUGCCUUAGGCAAGGGCUCUCGCAUUGUCCCUUACUUAAAAUGUCUGGCUUUUCCAGUUGGAUUCAGAGUUGGUCUCAAAGGGGAGAGCAGUGUCUGAUCUGAUGUGUCUCAUGUUUCAUUUAGUCCCUGUGGGUUCAGCUUGUCACUGGUGAGGUUUAUUUCAAGCAUUGUCUGCCUUUGUCACAGGAGCAGAACACUUUCUGUACUGAGCUUAAGUUGACAGUUGUCAUGUGUUGCUUUGUUCUAGGUGAUGGGGGUAGACUGGGGACCAGUGAAGGAAAUCACAGAGAAGGGAGUAAUCUUAUAAUCAUCCAAAGUCAAAAUGGGAACCAUGCCAGGCAUUUUUGUGUGUUCAAAUCCCUAGGCAAUGGGACUCACGGAGUUGUUCACACCCCCUUUGGCUGGCUGAUCUGAUCAGUAGGUUCAUGCUUUGGUUCUGGGUAAUGUUUAAUUAUAUUAGAGGCCUCAUUGUAAGACUGACCCGUUGCAGAAUUAGUACUUUUCCUACUCUUACAUGUGAGUCACACCAGAAGGAAUUAACCCUCUGGUAGGAAAAUUCCCAUGAUGCACAGGGAACUGCUUUCUUACCAUUGGCUAUUAUUUUGAGGAGACAGUGCAGGGCCCAUAGAUACUUUGAGGCUUAGCAGGGAGGUGACUGUAAGGGAGUGUGCCACUACCCUCUGGGUAUCAAGACAAUGGGUACUUUUGUUGUCCCCUGACUUGUCAGGAUCAUGGAGCACAGGAGGGGGCUUCAACUCCACAGGCUGUGCUUAGUUCAUGAGGAGCUCCCUGUGGCUCUCAUCCAUCUGGCUUCCUUUGAGACUCGGCUUGGAAACCUGUUCUGGAAUUCUCUUCCCAGAGCUUUCAGUUCUUUCUGGAUUCCUUUCUGGGCUGACCUCUUCCACCCCGAUUGGUUUCACCAACUGUUGUUUUCUCUGUGCUUAUUGUCUCUGACUUGGAAUAAACAUCUGAGCACAGUGUUCAUCUUGUCUCUUCAUUACCACUAAGGGUUUUACCCUCCCAGCCUCUGCAACUGCCAGACGCCAGGAGGCUAGUUCCGCCUCAGCUUCUGUUGCUCCCUUGGCAUGUGCAGACCUGGUAUCAGACACUGUCCACAUCACGGCAAACCACCCCUCAACCCCCCGAAAUUCCAACCAAUACCUCUACCCACUCCACAUGUCAUUCUGGCUGCAGGUAUGGUCUUUGGAGUGUGGCAGCAAAGAGGCAGCUGAAAUCACGCCAUCAGAUUCUGGGUUUCUUAUCAUUAAUCAUGAUAAAUGAUACUUGGAUCUCUUGCCUGUUUGAAAUGGGAGCCUAUAACGCCAAACUAUCAUUUUGAUGAAACAUCAGAAUCAGUGGUCAGAGCUGCAGACCUGAGUGGACAGCAUGAGCGCCUUGAUUCUUGGCGAGAGUGUGCAUUCAAGAAGCUAAAAGUCCAUGCAGCCUAAGCCAUCACCAAAGAGGUCCUGAAUUCCCUGGGGAGCUCCCAAGAACAGAUGCUCUGCACCUUAAACUGCUUACCUCAACCUGGAAGCGAGGACAAAGCUAUGUUAGAAAAGAAGAAUCGUAAAGCAAUGUAUGGCCAUCAAAAUCCUUAGCAACCAUGCAGUUUAAUCACCUUUUCAUCUGAAACUGAGGCCUGGAGAGAUGGCCAGGUGUGCUAUAUGUAUUUUUCUAUAGCUCUGUCACCUGCCUGGAUCCAUUCUUCUGAACUGAGACCGCUUUAGUCAACCCCUUGUCAUCAUUUUUUGGUCUCUUUUCUGAAAACACCCAGAGUUUUAUCAAGCAGAUGGUAGAAGAGAAAACUGAGGUUUUCUCAUGGAGGUGGGUGAGUACAUGCAGCACACAACGUAUUAUUACAAUGUAAUUAUUGAUAUUCAGUAUAAGGAUGGAAUAAGGCUCAUGGCUUCUUUGGUCAAGAGGAGAACAGAUUAGAAGGCAUACCUCUACACUGACUGGGUUUGGCUUCUUUUCAACACAUUAAAACCAUUGUCAUCAUUACUUCAAUACAAAUUGAGUCCUUUAAACUUUUUUACAUUUCUUUAUUUGAUUCCUCUGUUGUGGUAAGAAUAAUGAAGCAGCAGAACCGGUUCCUGUGUGUUCUUACUUGGUGCGGAUCGAGAGCUGUGUUCUCCAGCUGUCUCUCUUUUAGCUGCCCUCUCCGAGCAGUCCUCUAGGUGGUAGUUAUCAUGCCUGCCCCCGACCCCCACUCCCACCCUCACCCCACAUUCUGCAGGCCCUUGCACAGAUCAGAAUCAUCUUCCUCCGUGGUCUCCAUGAAUCCUCUCUCUUUCCUAGACUUUUUCCCACCUACCUUUCCUUCUCAUCCAAUGCUUCGCCUUAUCCCAAAUUUCCUGGGGAGCUUCCUUCUUGCUGCAUAAUGACAUCAUCCUACAAUCUAUUUAUUUGUGUGUGUGUGUGUGUGUGUGUGUGUGUUUGUAUGUGUGUGUUCCAUACAUAGUACAUCUCUAUCUCUCUAUCUCUCUAUCAUCUAUCUAUCUAUCAUCUAUCUAUCUAUCUAUCAUCUAUCUAUCUAUCUAUCUAUCUAUCAUCUAUCAUCUAUCUAUCUAUCAUCUAUCUAUCUAUCAUCUAUCUAUCAUCUAUCUAUCUAUCAUCUAUCUAUCUAUCUAUCAUCUAUCUAUCUAUCAUCUAUCUAUUUAUCUAUCAUCUAUCUAUCUAUCAUCUAUCUAUCAUUUAUCUAUCUAUCUAUCUAUCAUCUAUCUAUCUAUCAUCUAUCUAUUUAUCUAUCAUCUAUCUAUCUAUCAUCUAUCUAUCUAUCAUUUAUCUAUCUAUCUAUCUAUCUAUCUAUCAUCUAUCUAUCUAUCUAUCAUCUAUCUAUCUAUGUAUCAUCUAUCUAUCAUCUAUCUAUCUAUCUAUCUAUCUAUCUAUCUAUCUAUCAUCUAUCUAUCUAUGUAUCAUCUAUCUAUCAUUUAUCUAUCUAUCUAUCUAUCUAUCAUCUAUCUAUCUAUGUAUCAUCUAUCUAUCUAUCUAUCAUCUAUCUAUCGUCUAUCUAUCUAUCUAUCAUCUAUCUAUCUAUCUCUAUCUAUCUAUCAUCUAUCUAUCUAUCAUCUAUCUAUCCUCUCUCUCUCUCUCUCUCUUUCUCUCUCUCUCUCUCCAGCCUUCAAUAGUUGUCUGUCUGUCUCUUUCUACCAUAUGUGUUCUGGAGGUGCUGGAUCCUGGUCAUCAGGCUUGGCAACAAGUGCCUUUACCCAGUGAACUCUAAUUUCUUCUUUCAUUUUCACAAGAGCCAAACAACAACAACAAUAACAACAACAACAACAAUAACAACAACAAUAACAACAACAAUAACAACAACAACAACAACACACCAAGAAAUUCCCAAGUAAUGGUGGUGCAUUGUCUUAGACUUUUUCUCUAAAGAAACAUAAAUACACUUGCACACAUUUAUUUACUUAAAAAUUGGCUGUUUCCAUAUUAUUAAAAGCUCUCUGUAAACAAGACUUAAACAGAUACACAGUGUUUCUAAGAUGAAUAUAACAAGAUUUGUUCACCUAUUCCUCUAAUCGUAGGGAUUUGCUGUAAAUUGUUUUCAAAUACUUUCAUUUUUCAUAUUGCCAACUUACUUCAUCAAAGGUUUGUAAAAGUAAAUACUGCCAGCAGUGCGGGCUGUUCAGGCCAGCACACACCUUCAUUGUCACUUGGCUAUUAUUAUAGAUGGAGAUCGUUAUUACCUCAUUAGUAUUUUAAUUUGAAGCUCUCUGAUAACUCCCCAGGUUGGAUAUUUACCAUUUGGAUUUUUCUCAUUUAGAAUUUUUCUGCUUGUGUCCUUUGCCCAUUAAUCAUCUGAGAUCUUGGUGUUUUUGUUUUGUGUGUUUGCUCUUUGGUUAUAAUCUUUCCUGCAGAUAUUGCUCCUCAUUCAUUGUCUUUUAAUAUUGCUUAUGAUUUUUGUCAUACAGUCCAAUCUAUUAAUAUUUCCUUUUGUAUUUCCUUUGCUUCUGAAUAUGGAGAAUUCCUCCCAGCAAGAAGCAAAGUGUAACCUGAGCCAUGGUUUCUGCCUUGUUUCACUUCUUACAUUUAGCUCUUUGCUUUUAGUAAUUAUUUAAGUGCUACAUCUAAAGUGAUUUCUUCUAAAUAGUUAACAUUUGUUACGCUAUCCACUUUCAGAUAACUCUUCUCUUUCUUACUGCUGUGCCAUACUUCCUUAGCUUUUAUGGAAGUUUGUUUCUGUCUUUUUCAUUUCAAUGAGCUCCUUGAGACUAUUGGAAAGAUAUUAAUUAGGAACCCUAUAAGAUGCCUAUGCAAACUAUACAUUCACGAGGCACACGGAAAUCAAAAUAUCACUCUAUUAUUAGCUGGGGUAAGGCUCUACAACUCAGCUGGAGCCAAAGGCCAGCAUUCCUCUCUGCCUACCUUUGCCUGGGCUUCUUCACAACAAAAUGUUUGGAUGUCAUAUAAUCAUUGCUUGCAAAAUGGUUUCAUGGCAGACCACUUGAACUUAGAAGCAAAAAGGAAGCAUUUUGUGAGCCUGUGGACUACGUAUGCCAGGAGUUUGUCAGGGACAUAGUGAGGAUGUUUGGUUUCUGUUCCAUAAUAUUUGAGGCUUCAGUUGGGAAGCCUGGAAAGCUGAGGUGAAUUGAUGGCUGCCAUUUGGAACCACCUGCAAGUUAGUUGAUCCUCUGGUUGGUUGGUGACAGCUGUCUGUUAGGAACUCAGCUGGAGCCAAAGGCCAGCAUUCCUCUCUGCCUACCUUUGCCUGGACUUCUUCACAACAAAAUGUCCGGAUGUCAAAAAUGAACGAUUUAAGAUAAUCAGGAAGAGGUUUUUACUGUCUGAGCCUUAGGAGUUAUGUAGGAUCACGUUGGUCAUAGGCACAAGUCUGACUAAAAUUCUAGAUAGCGAGACACUGGACUCCAUGUUGGAUAGAAGGAGUCUCAAACACAGCCAGAAUACAGCAAAUACAGAGGCGAAUGCCAGCAGCAAACCACUGAACUGAGAAUAGGACCCCCGUUGAAGGAAUCAGAGAAAGAACUGGAAGAGCUUGAAGGGGCUCGAGACCCCAUAUGAACAACAUACCAAGCAACCAGAGCUUCCAGGGACUAAGCCACUACCUAAAGACUAUACAUGGACUGACCCUGGACUCUGACCUCAUAGGUAGCAAUGAAUAUCCUAGUAAGAGCACCAGUGGAAGGGGAAGCCCUGUGUCCUGCUAAGACUGAACCCCCAGUGAACAUGAUUGUUGGGGGGAGGGUGGUAAUGGGGGGAGGAUGGGAGGGGAACACCCAUAUGGAAGGGGAGGGGGAGGGAUUAGGGGGAUGUUGGCCCGGAAACCGGGAAAGGGAAUAACAUUCUAAAUGUAAAUAAGAAAUACUCAAGUUAAUAAAGAAAAAAAUUUUUUAAAAAAGGAGUCUCGUCCCCAGCUCCGAAAAAAAGAACUAAAAAAAAAAAAAAAAAAAAAAAAGGAGUCUCAAAGUUGCAUUGUAGGAAGAACACAUGGGUGGCAUAGGAGAUAUUCUUGUGGCUGUCCCAGGUCAGUAGUUCUCAACCUGUGGGUCACACCCCCCUGAGGGCUUGAACAACUCUUUCCCAGGGUUCCAUAUCAGAUAUCCUGCAUAUCGGAUCUGUAUAUGAUUCAGAACAGGAGCAAAAUGACAGUUGUCAGGUAGCAGUGAAAGUGAUCUCAUGGUCGGGGGUCACCACAACAUGAGGAACUGGAUUAAAGGGCUGCAGCAUUAGCAAGGCCGAGAACCACCGCUUUACAUGCAGACAUACUUAGUCAGAGUGGAGAACUCUGACAGGCUAGACUAGGCUUAGACUACACAUCCUGCUUAGCGUUUUCUUCCUGCAGAUAGCCACAUGGUUCACUGCCUCAGUAACUUCAAAUCUUUGCUUAACGUUACUUUCUGAGUUCAAAUUUGAUCUCAUUUACAUCCUGAAGCUCUACGAGCCUUCCUUGCUUUACCUUUGCUUCAGUCACCUUUAAGUGACAGGUAGUCUAUUUGACAUGCCAGUAUAGCUUAUGAUUAUUGUAAACUUACCAUAUGUUUGUGCAUGUAUUAUAUGUUCUUUAUAACUGUGUUUUUUCCUCUGUUGGGUAUAAUCUCUACAAGGGGAGGGUCUUGGGAGACCAGAUCCUUAGAACAACCCAAGGGGACAUGAAGGUCAGGUACAAGGUCCCCUGUUUUACAGAUGAGGAGUUUGAGGAGUCAUGGAAUAAAACAUUCUCCAAUGUCACAUAGAACCAUGACUGCAGCUAGGACGCUGUAACUUGGAAUCCAGGAAGCUCCGUGUACAGGCCAUCAUUCCCUUCCUGUGUGGCAGUUAUGGUAUUUUGUGGCUCCAGGCCACUUCUCAGACUCUCUCGUGUUUCCCUUGGAAAUAAAUACAAAUCCCAAGUUGCAGGACAGUUGUAAGCCCUCAAGUUGUCAAGGACAAAGCAACUUUAUCUCCAAUUCAUGAAUCAGUUAAAUAGCAUGAUCGCAGCAACAAAAAGGCAGAAGAUAUCUUUGGGACAAGUGAACCUUGUAAUCUGAUCCAAUUCUCACCCAGAAAUACCAUUUUGACUAUUUUAAUGCAGAAGUUACAGAGUGAGCAAAUGACUCUUUGGUACAGCUCUUCCACUCCACCAAGCCUACAUCUGGAGGACAUUUUGAGAGUCUUAAAAAAAAAUCUUUCUUUAAGGAUUAAACUUCCAUGAAGGGACAUGCAGCUAGAGAAAAGAACUUUAUUUCACCUUGUUUGAGAUGCUCGUUUGCACUCUGAGCCUUGACAAAAUGGGAAUUAUUUUUCUAGAAGAAUCCCCUUAAACAGUGCUCUACUGUUACAGAGUGGAGAGUCUUACAGAAGCUGGAGUGGGCCGGAGGCUUUCUUUAUGUAAAUCUAUUAAUCCUUCCACCACCCCAGAAGCCACUACCAGUACCAGUCAGAUAAUGGAUUUUAUCCUUCAAAUAUUGAAUAUAUUCUAUGUCUGUUCUGCCAAAAAGUAGAAGGAAAAACGCUUGCCUAUAGGCUCCAGAAAGGAGUAGAGGUGCACAGUUUGGAUGAGUGCCUUGGGGUUCUGGUGCACACUACUGUCUGUCAAACACUGAUUAGAUUAGCAGAGGAACCCCAAGGAGUCUUUGGGGGUUACUUGCCUUGCCCCCCAUGGCUAAUGUAAGAGGUUUGGGGUUUCCAAGCGUUGAAAUGGACUCUGUCUGGCUCGUCUUGUAUGAGCCUUUAAGGCCUUUCCCCUUCAAUCCUGUCUCUGUUUCGGCAUCUCUCAGCUUCUUUAAUCACAGAGUUCUUUUUAUCUUCUAACUGUAAUUUGUCCUCAUGUAGUUUCUCUUUAGUCACUGCCAGGCCCUGGGAAAUCUGCAUAUCAUAGUGAUCAGCCUGGGGCAUGGGGAUAUAGCACAGAAGUUUAGCCUGUAAAUAGAAAUGGAAUUUAAGCUCCUUAUUACCAUAGAAAUUAAAAAUUCUUCCACUCACAAGUAGGUUUAGUCCUUAGACAGGGUCCACUAAACCUGUUGGCUCCUAGUAGACUGUGAGAGCUUUGUGCCGACCACACACUGAGUUGGCACAACCUCGGAGACGCCUCAGAUGCUGCCAGCUCCUCCUGUCCAAGUCCCUCAGUGUGCGUGCAUUGCAAUCUCCAGUGUUGUUCUGCAAACACUCACAAGGCUCGCUAUCCCUCCUUUCCCUGUAGUUUCCAGAGUCAAUAGGAGUGCAUUUGGUUUCUGAAGCUAUGCUAUAUGGAUGAGAGAAGAUGAUGAUGAAGAAGAAGAUAUCCUCUCUAAGGGUAGGGGUGGGUUAAAGAGCCUCAUUUCUCCUGAAAGGAAGAAUCUUUUCUGAAGCAGUCAGAAGUCAGUCUCUGUCUGUCCUCUCACCCAUUUUGUGUGUGUGUGUGUGUGUGUGUGUGUGUGUGUGUGUGUGUGUGUGUGCCAUGCACAUGCACUUGCAGAGGUCAAUUUUGGCUGUCUUUCUUCAGGUGCUUUUUUUGUGGGAAACAGGGUCUUUCAGCGUUGCUGAUUAGACUAGGCUCACUGGCUAGUAAGCAUUUGGAAGUCACCCAAUUUUGAACUGGGAUUGCAGGUUCCUGCCUUCGUGCUUUUUUUUUUUUUUUUUAAAAAACAUGGGUUAUGGGUUUGGGGAACUGCUCUCAGAUCUUAUUUGCAUAGCAGUGUAUCCGUGUGCCACGUGCUGGUCCUGAAGGGAAACAGUGAUGUUGCUGUGAUUUUACAGAGAGUAGAGGCAACCACGAACCCAACAUAUUCAAAUGUCAGGGCUCUACGAUGCACAGGGAUGAACGCCAGAGACGUACCUGCAUAACCAGAGUACAGUCUUUUCCCUGGAACCCUAGGGCCCUAGCAGAAACAUUUUGAGCAUUUGGGAACUAGGUUUCAGGUUCUGACUCUUGCAUGCACAGUGGUCUUAGACAAUAGCAACAACAUCAGUAGCACUAAUAAGCCUUUGAAUUACUGUAUGCCACAUAGACUCUUGGGUGAUUUCUCUCCAGCUUUCAAAUCCUCAUGCUAGACAGACUUUCUGUCUCCCUAACUCCUCCUGCAUCGCAAACACUGUACUUGGACAGCAGGUAGAAGGAACCUAAGGAUGGACAUCUGAGCACAGGAGAGCCAGGGGUUCUUUACUCUGCAGUCUUGGGAAUAGAAGAACGUUUUCUGGCAGGGAGGAUGACUAUAAAGAGAGAUGGUGAACCCAUGAGUGUCUAGACGUGUGGAUGGCUUUGUACAACACUCAGAAACUCAGUUUGGGUGCCAGAGGAAGCCAAUCAAAUAAUGAGAAAUUAACAAAGCAGAUUAGAAACCCAAGAAGGCGAUGGAUAGGCUCCCCAGGGCUGCCCAUAUCCCAGCUCCUGUGUGCUGUGGAUGCCUGGUUCAUUACCUGUUAUUAUGUUCUGUUAGAGAAUCUGUUUCCUAGCAAAUCUCCUCUGGGCUAGAACUUGUGUGAAUUGGAUUCUAAACUAGUGUGACAAAACUCUUGGCAAGACAUUUCUUGUGUUCCGAGUAGGGCAGCAGCUGUUGGAAUUACGUGAUCCUCGUUUUCCAAAGGGGCUUAGUAGGCCAUGAAGGGUUCUAAAACUUAAGGUAUCUUAGGACAGUGAUGAUGAUGAUGAUGAUGACUGUGACGGUGGUGAUGAUAACCCCAAUGAUUGUCAUUAAUACACUCACUGCAAUAGAAAACCUGCAUCAUCUAUAACAUCUGUGAUGAGAACUUCCCAGUAGAAGCCCAGUGAGGCUGAACUUAGCUGGAGUCAGAUGUGGGAGGUCAGGUUGGGUACUGGGUUCCAUUGCUUUCAGAUGACCUUGGAGCUAGCCUAGAACCUUGAGCUCAGGAAAGUUGAACUUAAGUGCCAGGACAAGCUCUUAACCAAAUUUGAAGAGGUAUUUCCCUAGCUUUUAAAGAGAGGUCCUCACCUUUCUUCUCCUUUGUCUCUUUUUAGCUCCUGGUAACCUUGCCCUUGCGCUAACACCAUUCCCUUGAAACAGCUCUGGACAGAUGCUCAACAGGGAGGUAAACCAGCAAGUGCAUAGCCUGGAGCAGGUCACCUGAGAGUGGCAAGGAGGUCUUGACAAUGUUGGACAGAUUUCAAUGAACCUGACCACCCUACCUCCCCAGCCACUGGUUCUGUGGAUUUGUUGCCUGUAGAGUUCUGCCUUGGGCUGACAGGACAAAGCCAUUGAACUCAAUAGAAUUAGGCCAGAGUAAGGCUGAGACAACCUGGCUGACAUCUCUGACACCUUUGAUGGAUAUCAGCCCUGCCUGAGCUCUAGUGUCCUUCAGGGGACAGCCUGAAGGUGUUUGUCAUCACCAUGUGACUGGCAUGCUGAACUGCUAUUUCUACACACAUUUCUUAUAGGAAAAGCACUGUUCUUUCUUUAAAGACACACGGGUCACACACUCUCUUGUCAUUAGAGACAUCUUAGCAAUGGGGCCCUUUGUGUAACAUGAGGUAUGAUCUCUUUGACCCAUCUGAUAGAUGUAACCUUUCUUUCUUUUUCUCUGUGUUCUUUACUCCCAUCAUAGAAUGAGUUAGUAUAGUGGAGAAAUACAAUGCAAAUGCAUUGUUUAAUUAUCCAUUUAUUGAGCAAAUAUUUACUGACUAUAUGAUAGGAACCACAGCAGGAUUAAUCAGCAAAAUGGUAAAAGAGAAAGAUAUUAUAUCAGGUGUCAUGAUGCUAUGCAUCAUAGGGGUAGGAAGAGACACAUAACUAUGCAGAAGAGGAAAUAAUUGCAUAUCAAAAUGAGUGCUGUGGGGAAAUAGACCAAGGACAAAAGAUGGGAAUAAAGAGAAAGCUCUCGCUUUUAGAGAGCAAGGAGUUCUCUCCCACCAAGGCUCCACACAGGAGGAGCUAGGCUGUCCAGAGCAGGGAGAUCAGAGCAUGUUAGACACCUGGUGUAGAUACCAUGAUUAUAGUGAGGUAUAUACAGGGACACAUAGAUUGUAAGGGGGUAGCUAGGGACAGAACAGACAAGUUAAACAGACUGGACCUCAAAUCCCAGCUCUUUUGAAUGCUCAUGGGCAACUACUUCAUUUCCUUUGUCUAUAAACCAAGAAGCAGAAUUGCAUAUAUGUUGAGAAAUGUUUCCAUCCAUUUUGCAUAGUUACUGAACUAGUUCACAUCCUGUCCGAAGGUGAAAUGGCCUCUCUUUUUCUCCUCCUACUCUUCCUCUUUGUCCUCCUGCUCCUCCUCCUCCUUCUCUUCCUCCUCACUGGCACCUUGUUCUUUUUUCAUUCUGUCAUAUCAUUAUGGUUCAUUAAGUUUACCUAAAGCUGCUUUCAUAUAGACUGAAGUUUGGCCCAUUUCUCCAAAUCAUAAACCACACUUAAUUUGAUGUGUAAAGACCGUCACACUAGUUUUGUAAUGGGUAGCUUAGCUGAAGUCAAUCACAGCAGCCCCACUUCAGUCAUGCACAGGAAGCCAUCUACUCUAACCCCAUUCAAGAUGGCAAAUCCAAGUUUUAAGCCAUGCACUACCUUUGUAUUUUACUUCCUAUUUCUGUCCAUAAACACUAUUCACCCUGUGGCACUCCAGAAUUACUCUGCAUCUCUUCUAGAUCUUCAGAUGGUUCAGCUCUCAGACCAUUACUUACCCAGUUAAAUUAUAGUCAACAUACUAGCUCUACAGUCUCUGACUCCACAGUAACUGAUCCUAGAAGGUGGGAGGUAAUAUUUCAUUGUGACUUUCACCUACAUUCCUUGACGGUUAGUGAUAUUGUGUACUUUUUCUUAUACCCAUGGCCCUUUGCAUGUUGUCUUGUGAGAAAUGUCUUUUCAGGUUCUUGCCCAUUUUUUAAAUUGGACUGUCUAUUAAGUUGGUUGACAUCCAUAGAUAUGUGUAUAUUAACCCAUUAUGGGGCACAUGGUUUAUAAAUACUUUCUUCAAGUACGAGCUUUCUCUUCAUUGCAUUUAAAGUUUCCUUUGCUGCAUGUAAUUUUUUAUUUGGAUAUAAUCCAAUUUGCUUUUUACCUUUUGCUUUUCUUGCCUAUGCUUUUGGGAUCAAAUCCAGAUACUCUUUGUUUAGACACAUGUCAGAAAGCAUUUCCCCCGGUCUUUUCUUCUAGUAGUUUUACAGUCUCAGGUCUUAGGUUUAAGUCUUCAAUUCUAGUUGAGUUGCUUUUUAGAUGAAGGGCUAAGGUGGACUUUAUUUUUCCCUUACUCUGUUGUGACUCAACUUUCCUCUUGUGCCAUGUCAGACUGAAGUGGCGAGAGUGGGCAUGCCUCUCUGUAAGGCAUUCAGCUCUUCUUCAUAGGACAUAUGUGCCAAUCAGUGGGCUUGUCACAUGGGAGUUUUAAUAUUUGCAGUAUGUUCUCUCCCACCCAAAGUGUCAAGCAGUUUUGUUAGGAAGCAAUGUGGAAUAUUAUGAUGUUUCCUUUCUGCAUCCAUUGAGACGGCCACGGACUUGAUCUCUUAACGUGACAUAUCACAUAUAUUGAUCACAUAUAUGAGCUGUCUUUGUACUCCAGAGAUAAAUACCACUUGAUUUUGAUCAACGAUUCUUUUAAUGUUAUUAAAUUAGCUUGUUAGUGUAUUUUAUACUUCUUUUUAAAAUUUUUAGUAACAUGUUGAUUAAACAUAAUAGUGGGUUUUGGUGUCAUCUUAUAUAUUUAUAUAAGCUUCUAUCACAGUCACUUGUUACCUUCUCUGUUCUUCAACUCCUACUGAACACCUUCUUCCUACCUCAUCCCACUUCUAUUUUUAUGUCUUAUUUAUUCCUUUGUUUGAUUUUUUUUGAUAACUGAGUGGGUUUUAUUAGGGUUGCUUAUAGGAUCCUGGGUGAAAGGUUAUUUAUGGGAACAUGGGCUCCCUACCAGAGGUUAAACUCCUGAAGAAAAGAUCUCUUCUUAUACCCUUGACCAUUCAGUGACCACGGGAUGGGUGGAACCUUAUGACUCCUCCCUCUAGGAAUGGGUGGAGUCCCGUGAUCCUCCUUAAUCUACCAUUCUCUCUCUCUCUCUCUCUCUCUCUCUCUCUCUCUCUCUGUGUGUGUGUGUGUGUGUGUGUGUGUGUGUGUGUGUACCUUCCCCCAGUUCUUUCUCCCUCCCUAUGACAGAAUUUAGCAGGCCCAGUCUUGCACAGGUCUUGUGCAGGUAUCAUGUAUGCUGUGGGAUCACAAGUGGACCAGUGAUGUCACUUUUUGAAGGUGACACUCCACCAUACUCCACCCUGCCUCUGGGGCUGUUGCAUUCCAUCCACCUUGUCUUUCUCUGAGCCUUGGGAAGGGUGAUAGAGAUGUCACUUGUUCUUAGCACUUUGACCUAGUGAUGGGUCUCCAUAGUUACCACUACCCAGUGAAAAACAGCAUUUCUAAGAUCAAGGCUGGUCCACGGGUAUAAAUACAAUUAUAUGGCCAUAAUUUGAUGGGUAUAUCCUGUCCAUUUUAACUUUUUCCUAUGUUGCUGUGGAUUUUUUAUCUAUCUUCAUCAGAGAUAUUGACCUAUAAUUUUCCUUUUUUGAAGAGGGCUUCUCUGGCUUUGUUAUCAUACUGAUUAUGGCCUUCCGACAUGAAUUUAGAAAUAGUACAUCUUCUUCAAUAAUCUAGCAGAGUUUGAGAGCAUUGGUUCUAUUCCUUAAAAGUUUAGUAGAAUUCUGCCAGUAAGCUAUUAUAUUUUAGAGUUUUCUUUGCAGUUUUAUGUUUCAGUUACUCAUGUGUCUCUCCUUGUCAUUUGUUUAUUAAGAAUUUCUAACAAGAGUCACUUAUCAAUGUGGGCAGGUCAUAAAUUGAACACUCCAGUCAUUGCAAGUUUUAUAUCUUACCCACUUGUAGGAUAUUCAAUUUGUUAGCAUGUAAUUGUUCAUAGGGGCUCAUAAUCCUAGUAUUCUGUGGUGUAACAUGUAAAGUUGCCUGUUUCAUUCUGAUUUUAUUUGUUUUGAUCUUCUCCAUCUUUUUCUUAGUCUAUUUGAAGGUUUGCCAAUUUGUGCUUUCAGAUCACCAACUCUCUGUUUCGUUGACCUUCUCUGCUGCUUCUCUAGACAUUUUCAUUUAUUUUUGCUCUGGGACUGCUGUUCUCUUUGAUAACUGUGGCAUAGCUUGUUCUGGUUCCUUAUGGUGUCUGUUAGAUUGUUUAUUUUAUUUUUACUGUUUGCAGGAUCAAACUUCAGGACCACAGUGUACCAGAAAAGUGCUCUACAGUUCUGCCACACUCCAGACCUUUUCCUUUAUUUUAUUUUAUUGCUUUUUUUUUUUUUUGAGACAGAGUCUAACUCUAUAGCCCUGGCUGCCCUGAAACUUGCUACCUAGAUCAGGCUGGAUUUGAACGCAGAGAACUGUCUGCCUUUGCCUCUGGAAUGUGGGCUCUUUCCUUUUUUAACAAUAAAGAUGUUUAUUGACAAUAUUGAGCUCUUAAAAUAAUUUUUUCUGAAUUCUUUCUAUAGGUUUGGUUAUGUUAGGUUUACAAAUUUGGUCUCAAGAGAUUUCUUAAAUUUCUGCUUUGAUUUCCUUCUCGCUCCUUGGCUGCUCUAUAGCAUAUUGUUCUAUUUCCAUAUACUCAGAAAUUCCCUCUAUUAUUGAUGUACGAUUUCAUAUCAUUGUGGUCAGAAAAUAUAUUCAAUAUGAUUUCAGUCUUGGUAAAUGUGUUCAGACUUCUUUCGUGGUGUAACCAUAUGGUCUAUCUGAAUAAAUAUCCCAUAGGCACUGAGAAGAGUGCUCAUUCUGUGGCUGCUGUGUGUUUGUGUCUCUAGGUCCCUUGGGCUUAAAGUGCAUUUCAAGUCCAAAGUUCUCCUAUUGAUUUUUCUGCUUGAAUGAUCCAAGAAAGCUUGAUAACCACUACGGUUCUUAUCCUUGUCUUCCUGGCUUCUUCUCUGCUUUUUGCUCCUUGCCUUAGCUGCUAGAACCCUCUGCAGACAUUACCAUUUCUCAUUAUUAAACAAGAGAAUUCUUAACAGCAGCUAUGGUAAAUGUUAGCUGUAAUAGAAUUUGGGACACACUUCUAAAGUUGCCCUUUCUCAAGGAACCAGGAAAACAAACAAACACACCUGCAACAUUAUCAAAAGUUCUUUCAUUAGGAAUUCCUCCAUUUGGAGCCAUAAAAUGGAAUUAGCUGGUAAAUAGGUUACCUGGGCCUAGUACUUUCUUUGCUGCCAAGACUGACAAUCCGAAUUUGAUUCCGGGGACUAACACCAUGGUGGAAGGGGAGAACUGACUCCUACAAGUUGUCCUCUGACCUCCACAGCAUUCCAUGACAUAUUUACACACACACACACACACACACACACACACACACACACACACAAGUCUCAUUUAUAUGUGAAAUCUUAGAAAGUUCAUCCCUGAGGUAUUAAGAAUAUAAUGGUGCUCACCAGAGUCUGGGAAUGGAGUAAGAAAAUGGGGAACACGAGAAUGGUUGUGGUUGAUGUUAAAUAACAGACAAGGAUGAGGAGAGAAGCCCUGCUGUGCCCGUAAGGUAGCUGUAGAUAGCGAUAACACACUGUAAACAUUUAAGAGACAAGAUAGGAGGAUUUAACAUCCUUUCUGCAUGGAUACAUAUUAGAGGAGAUAGAUUUUCUACUUUCAUUUGAACAUUGCAUGAUAAAUACAUGUACAUGUACAAAAACACAACACAGAAUCUCAUCAAUGUGUACAGUUUGUGUGUAUCAUUUAAAAAUUUGAACGCAUAUUUCUAAUUUAUAAUAAAAUGUAUUCCAUGACAUAUUUACACACACACACACACACACACACACACACACACACACACACACACACUCUUCUUUUGAGACAAUCCCUAGGCUAUGGCUCUCAGGGGAAGAUUGUGGAGACCUACCCUUCAGUUACUCCAGUCCCUUGGAGUACACAGCAGUGUGUAACUGCUUGGAAUGACAUUUCCCCCUUUCAUCCAUAUGCACAUUCUUUUUUCUGACUUCUUAUUCACUCUUCCUGUGUGAACUAUAAGCCAUUAUAGGUCCCCCCUGGCCCCUGAAAUCCACUCUGAUACCUAUGAGGAACAGGAUUGCCAAAUUGCUGUCUAGCUGUUACCUUUCCCAAGCUGCAUACUGCCAUUCCCAACUUUCCAAUGUUCAUGUCAUGGUUUGAAUAGGAAAUGUCACCCAUAAUUCUUCUGUAAAUGCCUGGUCCCUGGAAGGUGACAUUGUUUUUUUCAGGUGGUGGAAAUUUUGGGCAGUGUGCCUCAUGUGGAAGAUGUGGGAGGGUGUAGGACCUUCUAUAGUCCCUACUUCUCUUUACCCUCCUUGGGUGCUGUAGUCCUCUUGCUAUAAUAUCAAGGAUGAAGCCACACAGUAGUUUAGACUCUCUGACACUGUGAGCCAAAUUAAAUUUUCUCUUCUUUCCUUCCAUUGCCCUCUCAGCUGUUUUGAUCGCAGCUGUGGCCAAGCAGCAGUUUGUUCCUACUAUGAAAAGGACCUUUGACCUGCCAUGUCUACAUGACAAACCACCUUCUUCUGCCCCUGUCUGUAUCCCUGUACCUCCUGUCUUCAUGACAAACUUUCUCCUGUCUCCAAGCUUCCUCUUUACUCAGGCUACAAAUCUGGGCUACAACAGACUUUUACCUUUCUCUCCCACUUGCAGAAAAUCCUGUUUCCUAUCUUAAAAAAAAAAACAAACCAACAACAACAAUAAAAAAAAACAAGAGAAAAAAAACUAAAAACAAAACUCUUUUGGUGUCUAUGUGUAUGAUAUGGUAUGCGUCUGUGUCUGUCUGUAUGUGUUUGUGUGUGUGUGUGUGUGUGUGUGUGUGUGUGUCUAUGUAUCUGUGUAUGUCUGUGUGUCUAUGUAUGUGUCUGUGUCUCUCUGUGUGUGUCUGUGUGUUUGUGUGUAGUUGUGUGGGUGUAUGUUUAUGUGUGGGUGUGUGGGUGUGUGUUUGUGUGUGUCUGUGUCUGUGUGUCUGUGUGCCUGUGUAUAUCUCUGUAUGUAUACAUGUGUCUUUGUGUGUGUGUCUGUGUGUGUCUGCGUGUUUGUGUGUGUGUGUGUGUCUGUGUGUGUCUAUGUGUGCAUGUGUCUGUGUGUCUGUGUGUCUAUGUGACAGUGCAGGUAAGUGCUUGCUAAACAUGAGUCUGGAGGUCAGAGGACAACCUCUCUGUUAGUCCUAAUCUUCUACCUUGUCUGAGGGUCUCUUGUUUGUCACUGCCUAUGCUGAGUUAAUUGGCCCACAACCUUCUGUGGAUUUUCUUGUCUCUACCUCCCAUCUCCCAGUAGGAACACUGGGUUUACAGAGCCUGCUACUGCGCCUGGGUUUCCAUGGGAUUUGAACUCUGCUGCUCCUUAGGCUUUUGUGUAUAACCCGGAACUUUUCACAGUGAUGUAGUGCCCCUGCCCUCCUCUUAAUGUUUUGUAAACUCUUUUUUCUUCAGUGAUUCUAUUUCAGGUUCUUUCUUCCCACCUGUGGUUUUGUGGUGGUCUCAUCACCAGACUCUUGUGUCUGCCCAGCUCUCUUCAUUGAUAUGAAAAGAUGUUGACUACUAAACACAUACAUGUGACAUUAAGGAGACCUUUUAAAGUUACCUGACAAUGAUUUGUUCUCCAUUUCAGCCUCUGGAGAAGUCUUCAUAGAUCCCACUUUGCUUAAGUCUGGUUUUCAAGUGCAAGCACAGGCUAAUUUCAAGGGUCUUUUAUUCUUCGAUUUGUUCUAGUUAGAUGGUUUUUGCUUUGUUUUCGGAUAGCCCUCAAGAGACCCUUACUACUCCUGUUCUGGCCUUAAUCUGCCAACAUAGAUGAAGAUGACCUUGAACCUCUGAAUGUUCUGUGUCUGCUUCCUGAGCACAGAAAGAAGAAUGUUUUCAUAGGGGAGCCUGGAAGAUCAAAUGAGACCAUACUUGCUGAAACAGAAGGCCCCUGAGAUUUUUGACUCACACCCAACUUUGAAAACCACUGGAAGAGAUGAGCUGGAUAACCCUGGAGAAUAUAAUCAGAAUCAAGUUGCAGACACAGACAGAAGGAGCAUUUCUGUGAUGCUUUCUGCAGGCUUGGAGUGUGGAGGGAUAUUGGCUAUGCAGUCACAGAUUAAAGGGCGCCACAAAGAGAAGAUGCUGGUUUGUAUGAGAGGCUUGGAACAGGCAAGUGUGUCAACUGUGGACUUCACCACUGGGUCUUGGCUGCAAGUGACAGGUGCUACAGUGGAACACCAUUGUACAGAGGCAGGGCCCCCCUCAUCUUUUAAAAAUAUAUGCAUAAUCUUGUAAAUUCUAGGAAGUUUAUUUUAUGCCCCCCCAUCUUGAUAAUGAGUACAGUAAACUCUCUUGGAGAGACAUUGUCCCCUUGUUGUGGGUAAAACAAGAAUAUGUAUUCAGCCUUGAUCCCUGGCAGUGUUAUUUCUCUAACUCCCUUUUCUUCCUCCACCUCCACCCACUUCCUUAUCCCUCUUAAGAUUCUGUCUGUAGAGCACAGGGAUAAGAGCUUGUCACUUCUGCUGCACCAUUUGUGAGAACUCCAUGGUUAUAUGGAAAUGGAUGAUUGGCGUCUUUGCCUAAAUAUAAGAAAGGGCAACUUGACAGGAGGAGCCAGGGAGUGUGUAAGAGACAUCUGUGUAUCUCCCAUGAUGUCUGGCACAGGCUAGCCCUUAGUAGGCCAUUAAAUACUGGCUGGGUUCUAACCUGGCAGGGGAGAUACUGUGAUGGAGAAGUGUUUUUUUCCAAAGCAAGGCUCAUACUUGGCCCUUCCGGAGUGCAGGCCUCUUCAAGUUUUUUUCCAGUAGUGGUAGUGAUGAGCUGUGUAUAUGAUUUCCACUGUGAAAUAGAAGCAAUUUUAAAAUGUUUUAAUAACUGUCUGAAAGAAGGUAUGAAUGUUCAGUACUUGUUCAAAAUCAUCUGUAUUCAGCAGGUUCUCUCUCACCUCCUCUGUGGUGUUUCCAAGAUACAAACUUUAUUGAGCAAUGAUGUUGCCCAUGGAGUUUCAGUGCAGAUCAUUGUACCCUACACAUUAGUAUUUCACUGAAAGGCUCCAUUCUAGGCAGUGCAUGGAGAAGAAGGACAAGGCCAGCCAGCUCUCUGCAGUAUGUGUGUGUGCACAUGUGGCUGUGACUGCAGCUCCGAUGUGCAGCUCAGUCUUCCACAUGAUGUGAAUGGAAUGAAGGCAGGUGAUGUUAUGGGAGGAGGAACAUCCUACAAUGGAGGUAUCUAUGAAAUACCUCCGAGUGGAGUUCUCCCGACUGAUGCUUUCCCCCCUAUUCUUAUGGCACCAUCAGCAUGCCCAUGACAGGGAUAAGUUGAGGCCUCUUCAUAUUUCACAGUGCUGCCUGUUUCUGGAGCCAAGUUCUAUUGUGAUAGAUACAUUGACAUGGACUUGGAGAGGCAGCUGAAGUAGGACCUGGAGAUCCAUCAUUUAAUCACAGGAAGAUAAAUGGAAAACAUAAAUAAAAUACAUAUUUUGAGGGUGAGUGGUACACAAAAGCAAUUGGUACUAGCCUCAUGUGCCCCAUCCCCCACCAGCUCAAGAACUGUGUACAUGUCUUAGCAGCCCAACUUAAAAGUAUAGUGUCAGCAGCUAGAUAUUAACAAUGGUGGGACCACAUUGCACCACAGAAUUGACAAGUCUACCAUUCAGAGCCAGCCUACUCUGGAUUUUGCCCUACCUUCCAAAUGUGGGUCCUGAGGGCUUGCCAGCAUUCUCACCUCCAGCCUGUAGGCUGACAGCUUAUGUGCUUUGCUUUGUUAUAUAUCAUGGCGACAGGUAGAGCAUAGUGACCUAAAUGAAAGAGAUCUGGAUGAGUGUAUACUGGACUAAGACCACAUAGAGGCCUCAGCAGCAUUCUGAGUCUCACGCCCUCUCUAUACAGGCACUUGCUUCUCUCCCAGGAAGCACCCAGUAAGUACGAGGAAGCAUGAAGGAUUUGAUUUACUGCCUUCUAGAAACAGGGAUUUACGGUGUCAUCUUUCAUAUUUGCCUGUGUAUUUUAGCCCUCCACUCUUCCUUAUCCUUGUCUUUUCUUCAUUUUCCCCAGGCUUUUACUCUGUUUAUGGUAUAAGAUUACUCCAUUAGCAUCACAGAGUCAAGGGACAUUUGGAGAGGGACUUAGACAUCAUCUAGUACCCUGGAAGGUAUAUUGAUUUUAUUUCAGGUGCCAGAGUCAGCCCACUAAAACAGGCUGUCCUGUGCUAUGAAUCUGCAUCUGUAUCUGAGCUUUGUGGGAAUAAGAGAGAGGUUUUAUUAUUUAUUAUGUCUGCCAAGGGCAUAGGCUUCAGGAGUAAGAGCUGACUCUAUAUUCUGUGUACUUUCCAUGACCUGGAAUUCAGUCUUCCUUAUUGUGUUGGUAAGAAUACUGAGAGUCUGAAGGAUUCUACAACUUCUCAAGAGUCCUAUACUUUGUAAGUAGCUCAGCUGGAAUUCAAAUGCAAUCUGACCACAGUGCCUUUCCCUAGACUUCAUCUCUGCAGCAUGUUGUUCAGCCCUGAAGAAAAAGGAAGGAGAGAAGCGCCAAUAUCAUGGACUGUAGAAAGUACCAGAUCCAGGAAUGAGGAUGCAGAGAGAGUAGAGAUGCUUUGACUCAAAGUACUCUCCUCGUCUUAGCCAGAUGUGCUUGCUGCCAUGAUGCUUUUGUGCCUUGGACUUCUCCUCCUUGGUAUGAAAUCCGUGUUUGCUAGGUGAACAGGAUCCUUCUGAUACGAAGCAAAGUUACGCCUCAAAGUUUAUCACAACCUGCUCAAGAAUCACGUGCUCCAGAGCUUGAAUACUCUGGUGUAAUUAUCAGGACCGGGGAGCUCUCUGCAGUGGGGAACUAUUAAAUUUGGACUACUCCUUUUCUCCUGAGUAAUAAAUCAACCUCAUGUGACCCAAUGUAGAUGCCAUUUUAAAAUAUAUCUCUAGUUGGUAAUCUUCUGUAUAUGGGAAGGAUUUUGACCCCUUCCUACUAAUGUCCAAAGAAGGAACCAAAGUGUGCUUUCUUUAUCCCUUUCCUUCCUUCCUGACAGUCAUACCUUCCUUUUAAUUCAGGGACAUGACCCUGACUCCCAGGAUGUGUCAGAUAGACCCAGGAGAUAUAAAGGAUCUGUAUAAUCAUUGUAUGCAUGUGGUAAAUCUCCUCAAACCUCUUCACUGUAGAUCAUGAUGCAGUCACCUUGAGCUGCCAUGGAAAAUACCACAGGUAGAGCGCCUUAAACAACAGAAAUGCAUUUUCUCAUGAUGGUGGAAUCUCCGUGUUCAUCAUCCAUACCACCAGAGUGGUCUCUGGUGCGGUCCUCCUGUUUGUAGAUGGUCACUCUUAUAGUGUGUCCUCACUCGGGAGAUAGGACAUGAGUGGAGGAGAGAGAGAAGUAGAUGAAAGGAAGAGAUAGAGAAAGAUAGAGAUAGAGAGAGAGAGAGUCUUUAUCUUCUUAUGUCCAAAGUCAUAACCUCAUUUCAUCAUAUGCAUCUUCUCUAAAUAUAGACGCAAUGAGGGGUAGGGCUUGUACCUACAAAUUUGGAAAACCAUUGAGUCCACAGUAGCUGUAAUGCAAGGCUCAGAAUGUAGUCAGGGUAGGCAAUGCAAUUGCAGUAGUGUUAGUAUGGGAAUCUGGCCUUCAGAUAGAUCAGGAAAUUAACUAAGGUUAUCAGGAUGCUGAGGGCUAAAGCUGGAGGAAAACUGGAGGAAGCAUCUGCUGCUUCUUCUCUGCAAAACCCCAGCUCAAGUCCAACCAAAAUAAAACAAAGUCAAGCCCCCUCCAAAAGGCCUUUUCACUGCCUUGAUAAUAAUGGGCAAGAUGGCUUCAUGGCCACUGAUUUUUAAGAUACUUCAAAAGUGGGGGGGAAUAAAAGCAAGUUACUCCUAUAAUCUGACUCAACAGUACACUUUUGGCCACCAAGAAGUAUUUAGAGUUGGGUUCCUAUCAACAGCCCAUCAGUUCUUCAGUUGACACCACCUGCAUGCUCUUUAAUUCAGUUCUGUUCUCACACUGUCUGCUAGGAAACAGUAGAUAGUGUGCUUAAACUCACAGAACCAUCCCAAGUGACACACCUGUCUCAAACAGUAGAUUAUCAUUGGCACUUCUGACCAAAUGGCUAUACGUCAGUGUUCCCAGGGCUCUCUCAUUGGGUUUAACUCAUGUUCUUGAGUGUCUUAUGGGAUUCAGAGACACAUAAUAUUUAUAUCGGCUGUUUAUUAUAAGGAUAUUUCAAAGGACACUGGUGAAAAAAUGUGAAGAUGAGGUGAGGAAUUUCAUGCUUGACUGAGCUACAUUCUAGAAACCUCCCAGGCACUCUCUGGGCUUUUAGAGUUUUUAUAGUGGCUUUAUUACUCAGACAUGACUGAUUAAAUCAUCGGCCAUUGAUGGCUGAUUCAACACCAGUCCCGGAAGAGCUUAACAAGCCCUUGGAUUUCCUAUCCCUGACUUACUCAUUACAGCUCAAUGCAAUGAGCAGAGGGCCCCAGCCCUCUAAUCAUGUCUUGAUCUUUCUGUGACAAGCCUCAUCUCAAAGCCUCCUAGGAGCUGCCAGCUCAAGUAACUCAUUGAUAUCCAAAAUAUACUUAAUACUUUGAAGAUUCCAAAGAUUUAGGAGUUUAUCCCAAGAAACAGGAUGAAGACCACAUAUAUACUUCACAGUAUCAAAGCCGUCUCAAAUGUCCUUCUAUGAAGGAGAAUAUUUUCCACUAUCAAUAAUAUCAUGAUUCUUCUUGUUAAAUGCUAUAUUGUUCCUGGUAUGUGUCUUGAAUAGUUAGCUAUUACAAAUAGCCAUUCUUACGACAAAACUGGCUAGAAAUUGGGGUUCCCAUUGCUCUCUAUCUGGAUUUGAUGUGUAUGUUUGACUAGCUCAUAGAAUUAACUUUUUUGGUUAGUAUAUACAAUAAUGUGUCUCGUUAUGGUAUUUUCAAACAUAGAUGUCAUGACACUUUGCUCAUGGUCAUCCCCCAGUCCAUUCAAUCAUUCUUGCUGUGGUUCUGUUAGAUCUCAUCUUCUACUUCCAUAAGUAGAUCUCCUUUUGCCUGUAUCUAUGCACAUAUUUGUACAUAAAUUUUAUUAUUAUUAUUAUUAUUAUUAUUAUUAUUAUUAUUAUUAUUAUUUCUAAUAAUAUGCAGGUGUGUGUAUCUCUGUGAGGAUGUGCAUAUAAAUGGAGAUCUUGUAGAGGCCAAAAGAGAUAUCGGGUCCCCUGGGGUUACAUGUGGCUGUGAGUUGCCUCAUGUGAGUGCUGGGAACUGGGUUUCAAUCUUCCUCAAUAAUGUCCAUGUUCUUAACUGUGGAAGCACCUCCAGUCCUGUGUAUAUGUGUGCAUAUAUAAAGCUAACCUCUAUAUGAAAGAAAAUAGAAUGUUUUUACAUUCUUAUCUCUUCAUUAUUCUUUUGUAUCCCUUUAAGCCCCAACCACUGUUACCCUAAAUAAAAAUUCAUACCAAAUACUACCAUAUUGAUAAAAUCAGUAUUCUUUGUAUUUUAAAGUCUUUCUAUAUAUUCAUCAGACUCCUUUGUGGUAAAUAAAUUGGGUUAGGAAAUCCAUGAGUUGUAGAGUUCUUCAUCUCUACAACCCAGGGAGGUUCUAAAACCAUGGAUGAGUGAAUAGAUCAUAAAAUCUAAACUGGUUAUAGACGAGAUCGAUCCGUUUCCUGUGAGUGGAGCCUGUCCAGCAGGUGCACUGGUAUUCUCUUCACACACCAGCCGGCCAAGGUCAGUUGCUGCAUGCAGUCUCCUGACUUUGAAUAUGUUCGUGGGAAUUUGGAUUCUGGGCAGAGCAGAUGGCACUACUAGGUCCUUAUCAAUCCUAUCCAUAUAUUAUAUCUGAAGAUAGGAAGUGGACGCCAUUGGGGACUUCUGAUACUUUUCUAAAUGCUCUGAGCCUCAGCCCCAGUAGAAGGGGCUGCUAGAAACCAACAGGACAAUCAAACACAUCAAGAAGCAGCCCAAUGCUGCAGUCCUACCUAGUCAUCAUGGAGAGAAGCAGACCAUAAACAUAGCUGGGCCAAAUUGUAGUUCACAUCUAGCCUGCCAUCUAGUCCUUCAUUCUUUGACGUUCUCUCUUAUCCCAAAGAGAUUUUUAAAUGACUUGCAAUUGCCAAAACCUCUUAACUGAUUUCUAACUCAGUUGCUAACAAACAAACAAACAAACAAACAAACAAAAAACCCAAAACAACAACAACAAACCCACAAUUCCUGCCUUAAAGGAAAUAAGAUAGUUUAUUAUGGAAAUGAAUAAGAAUGGCCUUGGUCUAGGAACAGAUUCAGAUAACCCUAAAUACUAUAUCCCAAUAUGGUAAUGAUUUUAUGACGUUUUCCUAAUAGCAGAACUAAAAAAGCUAUCAAUCUAGACAUUACAUUAGAGCUGUUGGUAGAAACUCCAGGCAGCUAGGUUAGAGAAAAGCAGAAAAUAGCACCUUAGGCCUCAAAUGUCAUUUGAUGUCACUCUGAGCUUCUGGGUUAGUGGAAGCCGAGCUCUGUGUGUAUCCUAAGAUGAUUUCUUGAACAGUCUCAAGAAUGGUAGGUCGCACAUAGAGCUGGGAAAUAAAUGACUACUUAUAGACAUAAGUUUGGCUUCCAAUCUGUAACAUUUUAGAUCUUUACAAUUAGUCAAUCUGCAUGCCUCGUAGAAUGUUUGACACAAGUGUGCCUGCUUUUUUAUUUGUUUGCUUGUUUUGUUUUCUGGAAAAUGCAUUUCCCACAGCCAACAUGCAGGUCUGUUUGGAAAAUUAAACAAAAUAAUACAUGGACAAUUUAAAGCCAGCAUUUGCCACAUAGUAACCUCCCAAUAAUCAAUAUGCAUGAUUUUGAGAUGGAAAUGUAACUGUGUGAUAGGUCUGUGAUUACAGACUUGAGGUAAAAAAUGCCCCUCACUUGCAUUCUUGCUUAAAAUGGAUGCGCUCUUGGCUAAAGUCGAGCUUCUGUGGAAAGUUUACAGUUCCCCGGUGCCAUCAAUAAGGGAUUCACUAUUUCAUUGGUUUGGCACAGCAAUCCCUGGAAAGGCAUUAGGAUUUGGGAACAGCAGGUGAUUAUGGAUGGGGCUAAAUUAUUUACUUCAUCAGAGUGUCUCUGGACUUUAUCAUGCAGCCCUGUCACAGGAAGUUGUACAUAAAGAUGAAUAAUGGUCCCUUUAACUCAGGGAGCCGAAAGGUCACUGGGGCCGUGGCAGACACAUGAAGUUGUGUUUGCUACAUCCAUCAAGAAGCAAUUGUGUGGGGAUGUGAUGCACGGCAGACAGUGUGAGGGCGGACUUCCGCUGAUUGUUUUGUAUUCUGGUCAGGCUGGGUGUCCUGUAGCAGAGCAGUGACCAAGCUGCCAGCGGCAGGCAUCUUGUACUUAACUUUGCAACUACUUCAUCCUACGGAGGGGCGUUCCAGCAGAGGGGUUUGGAGAAUUAAGUUGAGAGUGGUCAGUUGAUGCACAAGUUCAUGAUUCUUGACUUAAGAAGGAGACACUUGGAGCUGGGGAGAUGGCUCAGGAGAAGAAACAUUUGCCACAUAAGUGUAAGGACCUGUGCUUGGGUUCCCAGGACUCACAUAAAUGCCAGGUGGACAGGGUUCCUACAUGUGAUCUAAGCAUACUUGGAAAGCUGAGACAGGAGAUCCCCAGAACAAGUUAAGUAGCCAGCCUAACCAAAUCAAGGAAUUCUGGAUCCAAAUGAGAAUGUCUUGUCUCACAAAAUAAAGUGGACACUGAAGAAGAGGCUUAUCAGCCUGCGAUCGCCACCCAAACGCCCACACAUAGCACAUGUAUGUGCUUACACACACACACACACACACACACACACACACACACACACUAAAAUAAAGUAAGGAGAGACUGACUUCUCAUGAGACCCCUGAGAUUCCUGUGGCUAAGCCCAACUUCUUUGGGACACAGGUCUAUAAUUCUAGCUUCUUGGGAGGCUGACAGGAGCAACACCUUCAGAGUAGGCUGCAGAGCAGAGAGAGAGAGAGAGACAAUGAAGACUAAGACCUUAUGCCUUGUGUCAAAAUAGAAACAUAGUUUACAGGGGCCGUGUAUGCAGCUCAAGGUAGAGCACUUGCCUAGAAUGCAUAAGUCCCUGGUGAGACCCUGAGUCCAGCACCUAAUACCAUAAAUGGAUGGUUGUGGGUGGACAGACAGACAGAUAGAUGGAUGAUAAAUAGAAAAAAAAAUAGCCAUGCAACUUUCACAGUGUCAGCUUUUUGUUCAUUUUGUUUUCUUUUGCCUAGAUAAUUCCUCUUCAAAGGCAGGGGAUAUCACUGUGGAGAAUGGAUUUCCUGCUCUGGGCCCUUUACCUGUUCUCCAAACUCCAGUCUUGUUUAUGGAUACCUGCAUCUCGGUGCUAGUCAGACUCAGCAAAUGUGUUUUGUUUUGUUUUUUUUCAAAUGAUUCAAUGCCAAGGGGUGUUGAAGAUUUGGUGGCAUUGGUUGAAGCUUUCUGCUUACUGGAACAAAAAAGGACUCAAAGAUGAUGGAGAGAGGAAAAUUUCCUCCCUCUAUGAUUUAAGGGCAUCCAAUAAUCCUUUCUUAUAUUGCAUAAAGGAUGUCUUGGACCAUCUGAAAGGAGAUGUCAUACCAUCAUAUAGAGUCUAUACUUGAGGGGAAACUCAGUUCCCUUCCACCUCCAACUUCUUAUUCCCUCCAUCUAUUAUUCCUAGUGAUCACUUGAUUGAUCACUUAGACCUCCCCUCAAUACCAGGGAUCAAACUCAGAGCCUCAUGCGUGCUAGGCAAGGUCUCUUCCACUGAGUUCUUUCCCACUGAGCUGAACUCUCAGCCUCCCAUUUCCACCUCUUGCUUACUGGCCUGAGAGAAACUGGUGGUCAUUAGAGCUGCCCAUCCACUACUUUACACUCUGCAGAACCUCCAGGUACUGAUUCAGAAGCAUUGACAUUUCACUCAGAAAAUUACUGGAGCCUGGAAGCGAGCCAAGGAAGUAACCCCUGAGACUCCCUCUGCCCAACCCUGCUAGCAUGGGUUGGGCCCUGGAGAGCAUUGCCCUCCCCAGCGGAAGGAAGCCUCUGCCUCCCCCUCUUCCUGAGGGCUGACACCAUUCCAAUGAGUAAUGUUUUGAGACAGAUGCAAAAUCAAUGGCACAAGGCUCACGCCGCUCUGGUUAUCUUCUAUUCUUUAUCAUUCAAGCUCCCCUGGCUUCCCCGGAUGAGAGUCUGGGGAGAGAUUCAUCUUCUCCCUUGUUUCUUAUUAGCACACUGGUGUAGCCACAGGGACAAGAAUGACAGAUAUUUCUAGACUGUCAUGGGGGAGAUAGAAACAAAAACUAGCUCUUUGAAGUACCUGACAACUUUUUGGAAAGACCCAAAGCGCUGUUUGUGGAUUUAAAAAAAAAUAAAGUUUUAAUUGUCAUCUUCAA